UUACGGCCACAUCACAUUGUAACACCGAUUCCCCUACGAUCACCAAAGUUAAGUAACGUCGAGCCUGGUCAAUAUCAAGAUGGGUCAUCGCUUGGGAAUACCAAGU